rnacentral:lncRNA from 1 species
GUGCCUAGCAUGCCAUAAACUGUAGUUUACUGUGACUUUUCCGGGGAAGGCAAAUUACACAGUCAGCAGCUGCAGAUUUCAAAAGGUAGUGAGUUCGGAUACCUGUAGCCACGGGGUCUUCCUGAACUUGGCAAGCCUGAAGAUUUUUCCUUCUGGACUAGGUCAGCAGAGCCGCUGGAAUUGCCCACAUAGCUCUCAGCAAAGCUGGGAAGAACGAACCAGCGUCCAGACAAAACGCGAGCGAGUGGUUCGGAACGCUGAAUCAUCAGCUUGCACUAAACAUACAUACGGGAUUGCUUUAGGGUAAGGAGCGACUGGAGAAAUUAAGUUGAAUUCAUUUCAAACGGGAAGGCUAGUGUGCUCUGAAGAGACCACAUAAGGAUAACACGCGUUUGGGGGAGUAAGAGAGGGUUAAAAGGCAAGAACUCGGACAACCCAGGGGGAAAGGCAGGCAUGUGUCUUGCUUGGGAAAUGUGCAUCUGGAAACCGCAGGACACAGAUCAAAGCCACUCUCUCCAGCCACCUGCCCAGAAACCCAGCCAGACACCUCAGGACACAGGACAUGUGGGCACGUGUUUCCAUUCUAAACCCAACAGGUGGCCAGACUUAGGGUCUAGACAGGGCUGUGCGCAGGGAUAGAUGUAGAAUGGAGCGCCUGGGUCCCUCCCGAGGUCUAGAUUCAGCUCUGCCGCCCUACUGGAUGCCUUGCCACCUGUAUCACGGAGUUGUACAGGACAGGAGCCAAGCUUUCUGCACCGGGACAGCGCCGGAACCCCGCGAGCGAGCGCUCCACAGUCCUCUCUCCGGUCCCCGCCCGCCUGCAUCCCAGGGCCCAUGGGUCCUCACCUCGCGGGGACAGCUGCAGAGCUGGCGACGGUGAGCCCACAUGCCCCCUGCACGGCGGCCCCUUCCCACGGCCCCUGGAGUCCGGUCCGGCCGAGGGGCGGGGUGCGCACGGGGCGGAGGCGCCGUAGGGGCCGGGGCCACAGGCAGAGCCCGCCGGACACUGUCACUGAGGAGAUCCCACCGCCCCGCCCCGGAGAACCAAGGCUCUCAGUGACGCCAGCCCCGAGGGUGACUCUGCCCUGCUGCCAGACUGGCCUUGUCCCCGGAUCCGCUCUGCGCUGGGGGCUCGGCCACGGAGGAGGGGCGCCUCCAGGUUAUGUAAUGCUCCGGCCCGGCCGGCCCGCCGAGUCACGAGCCAGCCCACUAGGGACUUGCAGGGCUCUCUCUGGAACAGCCCUGUGUGCCUGGGACCUACACUAAAGGAGUGCCUGGGUGUUCUCCAGAAGACUAUGUCCCUGAAUGGUCAGAGAGUAGAAGCUGUUCAAAGUCUCCUGCACCGGCAUCUGGCAAGGACCAGGACCCUGGUCAGACCACUGCACACAUCAAUCAGUCCUAAGGACUUGAGUUCAACUCGCUCGCAAACUCUAUGACUUUAAACAGUUCACUUGGUCUCAGUUUCUCAAUAAAAUAAAAACAAAGUUUGCUCCUGCUGAAG